UCCAGACACUUUCCCUGGAGAUUAUGGAAAUGGACCAAUAUCAGGGCAGUUUCCAGCACUGGAAAAGAUCUCUGAACAUACUUUGAGUGCUACGUUAAAGACCAAUAUUAAGAUGGGAGAACAAGGAUUAGGUCUUAUAGUAAUUCAGAACGGGCCGUAUCUCCAAAUAACAAGUCUUGUUCAGAAAGGCUCUGCAGCUAAGAAUGGAAGACUCAAACCAGCCAACCAAAGACUAACACGAAGGAGUAUUUCUUGCUGGUGGUCCAAAGCCUGAUUGCUACCAUGGGAAGUUGACCAAUAUUAAUGUGGGGUACUCUGGAAAGGUCCACAAUGCCACAAUCAUUAAAAUAAACAUCAGGCUGUUCAGAAAACUCUCUCCAUUGUAUACAUGAGACCAAGUGUGCUUUCCAUAUUGUCAUAGGUAUUUUCUGGGAAAAAAAAAUUCACUACAUUAUUCUUGGGGUGCUAUUGCCGUAGUCUAAUACAGUAGUUCCUCAUAGUAAAGGCAGGUAGUGGGGGCAUAAGCAGAGAUCCUGUACUUGACCCAGGUCUUCAGGUAUUUCUGUCUGAGGUCCUUUGCUUUGAUUUAGCACUGGACCCAUCUCCCUUUUUAUAGUUGUCAUGUAAAAGGCUGCAUUCUGGUGAUGCCUCAAGAAUAGAUGGAACUAGACCUGCAGCUCUCUGAAAAGGACAAUCACAUGCUGGAGCCAUGCAGGGGUCCACAUAGUAUGUGGAUCCAAGUGCAUGAAUUCACCACUCCCUGUUAUCAGAAAAGGCACACCUGGUUGACUGCCAUUAUUAAAACAAGUGACAUUGUUCAUAUACUGGAGUAGAUAGACAAUCCAACCCUGAUGAGAAGCAGUGGUUGGACUACUAGCAGUAGAGUAGUUAGGAAUGAGUCCACACAAAUCUUAGUGAAUGUUAUCACUGAAAGAUAGAACAACAAGUACUCCUGUUUCAGUUUCUUUAAGACACCAGUUAGUUCACUUUAAAAAGUUGUAUAUGUAUGCAAAGCACUGUAGGGCAAAUAGUUACAUCCAUAUAACAUCCUGUUAAAUUCUCUAAGUAAAUAGUCAUAGCACAUAAAAAGAGCUGCAUUUUCUAAAAAUGGCAUUUUCUUCAAUGUUAGAAUUCACUUCUAGAGUCCCUUAACAGUUAAAAUAGUCAGUCCUCUUUCUUGUAAGUACUGGAAGUAGCUGGUUUUGUUUACCCUUUAUUUCUCCCUAUAAGCCAGUGGUGCAAUUUGUUACACUUAAUUACUAACAUUCUGUAGAACUUACAUGUAUCCUACUGGUUUUUCAAACAGUGUUUAAUAGUCAUUUUAGCUGAAACUGCAAACGUUAUGUCAUGUAACCACACAAUUCAGUUGAAUACCUAAAAAUAUAUAUAGUGUGUUAGGAUUUUUGUACUACUCAGUACAGUAUUCACUAUUGAUUUUUCCUCUUGGCAGGUGACAUUUUAAUUAAAAUUGGACAUGCCAACAUAUUAGGAUGGACACUACGAGAGCUUUGGCAACUUUUGCACAAUAUUCCUAUAGGAACAGUUCUACAAAUCAGAGUUUACAGAGAUUUUGUUGAAGUACCUCAACACUGGAAAAAUUUACUUGAAUUGGUUCCUGAAGUAAAGCCUCUUGUAAAGACAGACACUUCAAGUAAAGACAGUGAGGCAAAAGAAGACAGUUGGACCAGUAGUGAUGAUUAUGACGAUGUAGACUCUGAUGAAAGAUUUAGAUACAAAACUGCACAAUCAUUUUGCUAUGAUUCUAAUAAACUUCCAUCAAUAUCAAAAACUUGGCAUGCAUUUAAAAGAAAAAAGCACACAUUUACUGUAGGCGCUGAUAUUGGAUGUGACAUUAUAAUUCAUAAAGAUGUUGAUGUAUGGUGUAGUUCUGACUUUGCAACUAACAGUAUUAGUCCUCCUUCAUAUUGGACUAUGGAAAUGCCCAACAGUGAGUCGUCAUCAUCGUCGUCAUCCUCUUCCUCUAUAUCAGAUGCAUUUUGGCUUGAAGAGUUUGCCAGUGUUCUGGAAUAAGUGAAUGGUCAUAUCAAACUUUCAACCUUCAGAAAAUUUUUGAAGCACCCUAUCAGCUGAAGGUUCAUUUUAAAAAUACUGAUUUUGCAAUUAGCUUGCCUGCCUAGGAUAUCUGACCAUCUGAUUUAUAAAAUGAUAGCUGCUAUCAAAAUCUACUCUUCCUGCUCUUAAGAAAGAAAGAUCUCCAUCAAUCCUACCUAUGAAGAGAACAUUAAAUUUGAUGCUUCUGUGAGCCCAAUGAUCAAGGCACAGCAGGAAAGUGCUAGAGCUGCAGUAUACUGCUUUCAGCUUUUAAAGGUAAGCCUUUUAAUUUGCAUAAGAUACAGAUGGUACAAAUGGCAAUUUGUCCAACAACUGUUCUUGAACAUAUUAAGGAUAUAUAACUGGGAUAUUUAUUAUGGCAAUUAUACAUUUAAUCUGCAGCGCAAAUGUAGUCCAAUACUACCCUCUGGUAGUUUUUGCAAGGCACACGCAUAAUGUUAAAUGUUUCUGUAUUUAUUCAUACCUUACUUUCAGUAGGUAAAUAUAUUAAAACAAAGCAUAUGAAUUCAGCACUUUAUUCAAUAUAUGCAAGCCCACAAGCUAUCUAGAUUAACAUUCUGACAUUAAUUCAUAAACAGGUUGAUUGGGACUUGUGUAUAAUG